UCGAAACUUAGACCGAAAGAAGGAAAGGAGUCGGAGACAGCAGCCGGUGGGAGGCAGGGAUUUUGUAGAUGCUCUUUCCAAUCGAGGUGAAACCACAGCCAGUCGGUCGGCCAGAUCGUGCUGCCACUUCCUGGCUUGUAAUCCGGGUCAUCUUCCUUCCUACUCAGACACUGUCGGGGCAGAAAAUCGAGGCCACCCCAUCCAAAGACUUUGGGUGUUGCACAACAAAUUUUAAAAGGCAUAAAAACAAACACCAUUUAAAACACACUGCUUAUAACAAUAUAAAAACAAUUUGAAAACAAUUCAAAAUCAUUUAAAACCAAUUAAAAGACCCCAAAACAAUUUAAAAUCCUUGGAAGGCCAGGCCAAACAAGUAAGUUUUUAGGGCUCUCUAAAGGCCAACAGCAAGCCAAAACUGCAGAUAUCUUCAUACUAGGCCAGGAGCAGCUACAGAGAAGGCCCGGUUUCAAGUUGCCACCAGAGGUACCAGUGGUAACUGGAGAUGGACCUCUCCAGAUCUCAGCGUGCGAUGGGAAUCAUACGGAAGAAGGCACCCUCUAAGGUAGCCCGGACCCAAGCCAUUCAGGGCUUUAAAGAGACUCCCCAGAAUCACAGGUAGAGGAGGACCCCAAAGAAAAGGAGGACUUGCAAAGAAAUGGCAACUUUAAGAAAUUCCAACUCUCCUUCUGCAGAAGAAACCAAACCUGAUCCAGGAGUAGAACCAAAGAAACUCGGUUCAUUGGACACAAAGCAGAAGCACAUUUUUUUUAGAAUCCUGAAACGUUUACUCGAAGAGCCCUAUUCUUUACAAGUAGGUGCGUGGGAUGAGGAUCAGCAUGCCGGAAGUAAAUUCAGACUUCAUUAUGGGAAGAACACUUGUCAGAUCAGCAUUUCAGAUGCUGACGGGCACAUUCAAAAGAAGGAGGUUGCACUGCUUGAUGUCUACCUUAAAUGGCGUGAAGGCAUUGUGGAAUCACUCACCCUGGAGAACCUCCAGACAGUGCAGAAUGAGUUGAAGUUCCUGGGAUUUAAGAAUGAAAAAGUGAAUGCUUGUUUUUCCCUUGCCAGAAAUGAAUUUAUUAAGGAGCCUUUUUUAAAAAGGCGUUUCUUCUACCUGAAAAUCAUUUGCGAGGAAGUUGCUUUCUUCUUUGGCCAGUGCAAUACCGAUGUGGGGGUCACAGUAAUGUAUGAUGAUAAAAAUAAAAGAGCUGCAUAUUAUCUAACAGACAAGGAAAAUGGUUUAUACACAGUGAAAACUAAGUUGGGUUGAUAGUUUUUCAGGAUGACCUGUUUUCCGAGCCCACUCGAGAGCCCACUAAACUUAAAUCUUGGGUGAAAUAGCUUUGUUUCAAAAGGAAUACUGCUUGCUGUGGCCAUUAGUGUAAAUAGCUAUCAUUUUAUAAAUCUUAUUAAUUGCCAGUCUCUUGCAACCAAUCCUACCUAAACUAUUGGCUUGUUCCAGAUUGCUACUCUUACGAAAGUUAUUUCUCUCUUGACUGAUAUCCAAACCACAUGUGAUGGCAGCAGAGCCUUGUCUUCAUCCAUGGUUUUCCUAGACACUCUUCCCCCCCACUCCCCACUGAGUUUUGCCAGCCCCUCUUCUAGCAGCUCACUAAUGAAGUGUAAAUAAAACAAAACUGCUGGGCCAGCCCAAGGGUUGAGGGGCUCCUCCCCAGGCGAAGUGGGUGCCCCAAGCCUCCUCCAUCCACACAGGCAAGUGUGGGCGGGCUGGCGGCAGACUGGGCAGGCACUUGCCCUCCCCUGGCAGCCCAUGGCAAAAAGAGCAAGGGGAGGCCCACUGCAGUGAGAAGAGUAAGGGGCAGGCGAGCAGUGGCCACUCGCUCUCCUCACUGCUGCUCACGCUGCUGGCAGCCCAGCAUGGCAUCUUAUAAUGACAUUGCCUCAUGAGGUGAUGUCAUUAUAAUGUGUUGUGGUGGGUUGCUGCUGGCAGGAACAGGCAGCAAGAAAAGUGAAUGGGUGCUUCCCAUGCCCCGCCUCUUGCUCCUCUUGCCUUGGCAGGCCGCCUGUUCCGGCUGUGGCUUGUUAUAAUGGCAUCGCUGCGUGUGGAAGGUGGCGGCAGCCUGCUGAGGUGACAGGAGCAAGGGGUAGGGGAUAGGGAGCUCCUGCGUCAUCCAUUGCCCAUCCCUGCCCACUUGCUCGCUCCCAUCAGCCUGCGGGGCAACACGUGACCUGGGCCAUCAGCACCCCUCCCCGCUUGGCACUGUAGGUGACAACCUAGUUUGCCUAGCUGGCCCUGGGAGCCUGUAAAUUAAUUAAUUACAAUUAAUUCCCCCCUUCCAAAAACCAUGCUGCACAGGAGGAAUGGUGCGACCAGACCUCCUAGCUGGGUAAAUCUGCAGCACUUCUACUUGGGUUACAUAAGUAAGCCAAAACUCCCUAUUAGCUAAUGCAGGUUGUAGCUGUUUAGCAGACUAGUUCAUCUUUGUCCUCCUGAUGAAUGGUUUGAAAUCACAGAGGGCAGUCUCGCCUAUUGUUUUGACAAUUGCUGGGUGAUUAAAAUGGUGGAACCAUUCACAUCCGUGACCUCCUCUGGUAGCUAAAGAUUUUCCCUAUAUUUCCUGUCUCUGAGAUGCCGGACAAAGCAGGGACACAUUCUCAAACUGUUUGAUGCUUAGUUCUAUACACACGUACAUGAGAAUAAGCCCCCUUGAACUCAAAACUGUUCAGGAUUGAUGCAAUAAAUAUUUAAAAGUAGAUCUGGAUAUGUCCAUCUGUUACCCAAGCCUACCCACCUUCCUGAAUUGUUCUUAAAUGUAAAAACUGAAAUGGCAAGAAAACCCUUUUAAAAAACCCCAUAGCAGUAGUGUUUAAUUAAUCCCCAAAUAUUCUUCCAUAUUCAAUAUUAUUCAAUAUUAUAAGGCUUCAUAUGGGGCAAAAGGUGGUGAACUGUCUUUGAGAGUUCGAGGUGCAGCAGAAUGCGGGGGUGGCUGACUAUGCAUGGAAUGUGAAGAGGGGAUGCUGGUUGACUGAAAUGUAGACUGGAGAUUGUAUGCAGGUGAAUUUUGGAUUAUAUGGGCCUAUGUCUUGAUAGUCAUUUUAUUAUAAUCAAAUGUAUUUGUGCAUAUAGUUCUAAUGAUUAUGUAUUGGAUUUGUUAUUCUUUGAUGCCCAGAGACAAGUAUUGGGUGGUAAAUAAAUAUGUUAAAUAAAUAAAGUGUUAUCUGCCAUGGA